rnacentral:rRNA from 1 species
GACGAACGCUGGCGGCGUGCUUAACACAUGCAAGUCGAACGGAAAGGCCCUGCUUGCAGGGUACUCGAGUGGCGAACGGGUGAGUAACACGUGGGUGAUCUGCCCUGCACUUCGGGAUAAGCCUGGGAAACUGGGUCUAAUACCGGAUAGGAGCCAUUUUUAGUGUGAUGGUUGGAAAGUUUUUUCGGUGUAGGAUGAGCUCGCGGCCUAUCAGCUUGUUGGUGGGGUAAUGGCCUACCAAGGCGGCGACGGGUAGCCGGCCUGAGAGGGUGGACGGCCACAUUGGGACUGAGAUACGGCCCAGACUCCGACGGGAGGCAGCAGGGGGGAAGAUUGCACAAUGGGCGCAAGCCUGAUGCAGCGACGCCGCGUGGGGGAUGACGGCCUUCGUGUUGUAAACUCCUUUCGCUAGGGACGAAGCUUUUUGUGACGGUACCUAGAUAAGAAGCACCGGCUAACUACGUG